rnacentral:lncRNA from 1 species
GGAAACCUGAAGCCUAGGCGACAGGAACGAAAAACAACAAAGCCAAAAUCAACGUUGGUCGCCCGGGCGACGGACCUAACGCCCGGGCGACGGACACCCGAAGCUUAGGCGUCCAAAACUGGCGCCUAAUCCUCACAGAACCCUUAAUUCAUGCUUGGGCGAGCUCCCUACGACGCUUGAGCAUGAUUUCACGUCGAUCGGGCCCUGUUUCUACUUUGAUUUGAUUCUUUUGGACCGGGUUGCACUUUAGGACGCGUCUGGCACUAUAUAUAGGACCCUGGGGCUCUAGGUUUUGCAUCCCUGGUUGAAGAGAGCAUAACAAUACACUCAUAGCCAAUUCUUAGUCUUUCCAGU